rnacentral:rRNA from 1 species
CGUGUAGGCGGCUUGGUAAGUCAGAUGUGAAAGCCCAGGGCUCAACCCUGGAAGCGCAUUUGAUACUGCCAUGCUUGAGUAUGGGAGAGGAGAGCGGAAUUCCCAGUGUAGAGGUGAAAUUCGUAGAUAUUGGGAGGAACACCCGUGGCGAAGGCGGCUCUCUGGACCAAUACUGACGCUGAGACGCGAAAGCGUGGGGAGCAAACAGGAUUAGAUACCCUGGUAGUCC